UACGAAGGGGGCUAGCGUUGCUCGGAAUUACUGGGCGUAAAGGGCGCGUAGGCGGACAGUUUAGUCAGAGGUGAAAGCCCAGGGCUCAACCCUGGAAUUGCCUUUGAUACUGGCUGUCUUGAGUACGGGAGAGGUGUGUGGAACUCCGAGUGUAGAGGUGAAAUUCGUAGAUAUUCGGAAGAACACCAGUGGCGAAGGCGACACACUGGCCCGUUACUGACGCUGAGGCGCGAAAGCCAGGGGAGCGAACGGG
rnacentral:rRNA from 1 species